rnacentral:rRNA from 1 species
CACGAAAGCGUGGGUAGCGAACGGGAUUAGAUACCCCGGUAGUCCACGCUGUAAACGAUGUGAACGAGGUGUGGGCAGUGUAGAAGCCGUCUGUGCCGGAGCAAACGCGAUAAGUUCACCGCCUGGGGAGUACGGUCGCAAGGCUAAAACCCAAAGGAAUUGACGGGGGCCCGCACAAGCAGCGGAGCGUGUGGUUUAAUUCGAUGCAACGCGAAGAACCUUACCUGGGCUUGACAUGUACGUAGUAGUGAAGGGAAACCGGAACGAGCCUUCGGGCAGCGUAGACAGGUGCUGCAUGGCUGUCGUCAGCUCGUGUCGUGAGAUGUUGGGUUAAGUCCCGCAACGAGCGCAACCCGUGUUGCUAGUUACAAGUGUCUAGCGAGACUGCCGGUAACAAGCCGGAGGAAGGUGCGGAUGAUGUCAAGUCAGCAUGGCCUAUAUGUCCAGGGCUACACACACGCUACAAUGGCUGGUACAAAGAGAAGCGAAAGGGAGACCUGAAGCGAAUCUCAUCAAAGCCAGUCAUAGUUCGGAUUGCAGGCUGCAACUCGCCUGCAUGAAGUCGGAGUUGCUAGUAACCGCAGGUCAGCAAUACUGCGGUGAAUACGUUCCCGGGCCUUGUACACAC